CCUACGGGAGGCAGCAGUCGAGAAUCAUUCACAAUGGGGGAAACCCUGAUGGUGCGACGCCGCGUGGGGGAAUGAAGGUCUUCGGAUUGUAAACCCCUGUCAUGUGGGAGCAAAUUAAAAAGAUAGUACCACAAGAGGAAGAGACGGCUAACUCUGUGCCAGCAGCCGCGGUAAUACAGAGGUCUCAAGCGUUGUUCGGAUUCACUGGGCGUAAGGCGUGCGUAGGCUGUUUCGUAAGUCGUGUGUGAAAGGCGCGGGCUCAACCCGCGGACGGCACAUGAUACUGCGAGACUAGAGUAAUGGAGGGGGAACCGGAAUUCUCGGUGUAGCAGUGAAAUGCGUAGAUAUCGAGAGGAACACUCGUGGCGAAGGCGGGUUCCUGGACAUUAACUGACGCUGAGGCACGAAGGCCAGGGGAGCGAAAGGGAUUAGAUACCCGAGUAGUC
rnacentral:rRNA from 1 species